GACGAAGGGGGCUAGCGUUGUUCGGAAUUACUGGGCGUAAAGCGAGUGUAGGUGGUUGUCCAAGUUGGAUGUGAAAGCCUUGAGCUCAACUCAAGAAAUGCAUUCAGGACUGGAUGGCUAGAGGACCGGAGAGGAUAGUGGAAUUCCCAGUGUAGUGGUGAAAUACGUAGAGAUUGGGAAGAACACCAGUGGCGAAGGCGGC
rnacentral:rRNA from 1 species